rnacentral:misc_RNA from 1 species
GAUAAAGUCAGAUAUUUUGCGCCAUUUCUAUUUUUCUUUGUUGAAUAUAUAGAGUCAUGGAGCAGCUGUUGGGUGUCGAAAUUUAGUUUUCGUUUGUCCGUAUUUUUUUCGUUGUUCCUGUUUUUAAUUUUACAGUUGAAUACGAGAUUUCUGCGGUCACCUGAAGAAUAGUGUGCUGGAGUUUUUAUAUUUUCCAUGUGUAUAUUGUGAUAUGCCUUUGAGAACGAUAUGUCAUGUAUUAGAUUCUUGGGCGUGACACUGUUUUAUAUGCAUGUAAUCCACUCUACGUCGCCUAGUAAGAAAAACAUUUAUUUAUUUUUUGAAAAUGUGACUGAAGUGUUGAUUUCUGUAAAUAGUAAUAAAAAUGGGCAGCCUUGUUAACACAUUGUAACCUUGGAUCUCAAGUCAGA